AUCAGUCUCAUUCUCCAUCGAACUAGAGUCCAAACCAUACACUUUCCUGAUUAACUUAACUGCAGCCUCAGACUACAAUUGGCCAUGGAUCAUCCACAUACAGGUGAAACAUCAGUUGUCUCACUGGUGAUUUGGAGAAUGGUGCUGACCUUGAAUGGUAGUUGAGCACUUGCUACAUUGAGCCUGCACCACUGGUUCAGAGGAGCUGCUAUUAUGCCCACAUUUGGAAACUUUAUUUCUUGCUCUAUCCAUGUUAAUGGGCUUGGUGAAUGAUCGCCUGGAAUGGGGAGGGGCACAUGUCCACCCCGGGUUGCAUUGCCAGAACCACAGCCCAGCCAUGUAUGCUGUUCCUGUACCAUCUGUCCUUGAGGGCAUGGGAGACUGAGUGGACCCAGGAUGUCUUGUAAGAGGGUGCCACCCACAACCUUGUGUCCAGUUGUCCACCUUGCUGUUGCAUUGUGCAGUAUCCUGGAGGCUGCAGAAGACAACCAACUGAAGGUGUGGCUACUUUAGCUCGACGAUGGUUCUUUACCUUGCUACAGUAUCCUGGAGGCUGCAGAAGAUGGCCAACUGAAGCAGGUGUGACCUCCAUUCAAAUCGGUGGGUGAGGAAGAUGAAGUUUUCACUUGGUGCAUCGAUUUCAAAUGUUCAUUCUGAUAUUUUCUAAAUAAACUUUUGAACUUG